GACGUAGUUGUCCCUUCGCAGAAAAAGAGCGAAGAUCUGUAGCAAACUUUGUUACCGAUUCAGUAGGAAAGAUUGUGUCAAGGUUUGUGAGUAAGUACUCGAUGUCGUAGGGAAGCACAUCGGAAACAAACCACGGAAAGUCUUUUGGAUGCAGUACGAUUUCCUUGGCAAUUCCUGCUUUCAACAAGUAGGCGGCAAAAAUAAGAUCUACGUAAAGUUCGAACCCCGCGUUGUCCAAAACAAAAUCAAUACGCCCAUUGUGCACGUCUUUUAGUUUUGACCAUACGGUUGGAAAGUCAUUAACCAGUAUAUUCUUCUGAGAUUCCUCAACAACCUUUUGGCCUUGAAGAUUCUGCAACUCUUCAUAACUAAGAUUGGUCAAAAGGCUGAGAUCGGUGGCAUUACCCCAAAGAGAAAUUUGUGCCAUUUCAACAAAGACCAUAUACGCAAUGUGCGAAUCCCCUUUCUUAGCAAUGGAAUUAAGUUCUUCUUCUAAAAGACAGUAUCUGCCUGCUAAUUCCUCUACAGCAGCCCUACUUGAUUUGAGAGUCGAAUCUUUCUGUUGAAAAAACGGAUCGUAAGCUUUCCAUUCAGAAUAACGAGCAAAUAUUAAACUGAUACGACGGUAAUAAUAACAUUCUGAGUAUAACCAAGGAGCGUUUCCCCAGCUCGCAUUGUCAAGCUGUUUUAACUCUUCAUUGUACUCAACAAUGUCUUGACCUUCACCUUCAAGGGGGACUAAAGGACGAUCAUUUUUGAUAUCUGACUUGAACGCUUCCAAGUCGUUAAGAAGAGGCUUCCCUUGUGCAACCACCUCAGAAUCCUUAGAAGUCGAAGCCAAUUUGGAUAGGCGUUCAGAUACAUCUUUUUCAAUGCCAGUUAAAAUAAUACCCCAUCGACGAGUAAAGCAUUCGUGACCAAAUGAUUCAGGAUCACUAGUCAUAGAAUACGCUAGGUUAACAAAGCAUUAAUAUGAGGAAUCUCAAAACAAUAAUAAUUUAGCAAGAAAUCUUUAUUCCCUAAUAAAGAUAAACUAAUUAAUUUUUACAUACGGAACGGUGGAUUUAGAAACUUCAUUUGGACGAUUCAAAAGAGAUACAAACAAUCACCGUGGUGUUAAGUGAACUACUUAAUAUAUUGAAGGAUGCAAGCGCCAAUGCUGAGAUCGCUUGCCGAUGGUGACAUAAUAUUAUAAAAUAUAAGUAAGAAUAAGAUCUCGGAGAAAACUAUUACUACUACUUCUAAUUUAAAUCUGACAUUAGUUUUACGGUAAGAUUGGGAUUUGUUCGAGUCAAUAUAUAUAUAGUAUACAAAUUCUACGACGGAUGAACAUAGAUGAAAUCUUCAAACGAAUAUAUAUUUAUUAUUGAAUGUACUAAGAAUUAUUAAAUGCAUUGACUAGUACAACUUUUAAGCCGACUUCCCUCUGAAAUUUUGUCAACCAUGAUUACGACGCUACCAUCGAUUUCAUCAAACGUUUGUAGAGUAGUUUAAUUUGGGCUUAUUCUGUACUUAGCUUUAGCAGACGAUCACUCGAUGUCUACAUAAAAAACGAAUUGAAGUAGGUUUCUCCCUUUUUGAUAUAUGACUGACUAUACUGAAACUGCUCAGUACUGUCUUGGGGGGUUACUCAGAACUUUUACUACAUAGUAGUAUCGAGUUAUAUCACGGAUUGCGUAGCAGGUACCUGCGUUGUCGUCGGAAGCUGCGUUAUAAAAAAAUGUAUUUUACUUCAAAGAUUAAACAUGUAUGUUAUCUCACAGCUAAGUACAUAAAUAUUUUAUUUAUUGAUUGAUUGUUGAUCCUAAAUUUAGCGUACUAACAGAAUGGCGGCAUCGAGUUAAAUGUUUGAAGAUAAUAGUAAUGUAAAAUCAACAAAAUAGUAUAAUUGAAAAGUUCCUUCUGUUACACCGAUUCCAUUCAGUUCAGUGCUAAAAAAAUAAAAA